GGGCCAGUGGUGCAAUGGAUAAUGCAUCUGACUAUGAAUCAGAAGAUUAUAAGUUUGACUCCUGCCUGGCUUG
rnacentral:tRNA from 1 species